rnacentral:lncRNA from 10 species
GUGUGGGGCACACACCAUCUGCGUCUAGUUGACUCCAUGUCUCAGCCCAGCAAAGUUCAUAAGAGCAAUAGGAAUAUGGAUGUAAUCACUGGUGUGGAAGCAGCCGUCUUGGACCAAGAACAUAGCCCAGGAACAGGCCAGAAGGAGUUGGGCCCCUGAUGUGAACCUCCAUAUGGAAUGCUUGUAUCCAGACUUAACCUGAGAGAGAACAAACGUCUAUCAUGUUUAAGCCACAGUUGUUUUAUAUUUUCUGUC